GUAUACAUGCAAGUCGAACGAACUCUGGUAUUGAUUGGUGCUUGCAUCAUGAUUUACAUUUGAGUGAGUGGCGAACUGGUGAGUAACACGUGGGAAACCUGCCCAGAAGCGGGGGAUAACACCUGGAAACAGAUGCUAAUACCGCAUAACAACUUGGACCGCAUGGUCCGAGUUUGAAAGAUGGCUUCGGCUAUCACUUUUGGAUGGUCCCGCGGCGUAUUAGCUAGAUGGUGAGGUAACGGCUCACCAUGGCAAUGAUACGUAGCCGACCUGAGAGGGUAAUCGGCCACAUUGGGACUGAGACACGGCCCAAACUCCUACGGGAGGCAGCAGUAGGGAAUCUUCCACAAUGGACGAAAGUCUGAUGGAGCAACGCCGCGUGAGUGAAGAAGGGUUUCGGCUCGUAAAACUCUGUUGUUAAAGAAGAACAUAUCUGAGAGUAACUGUUCAGGUAUUGACGGUAUUUAACCAGAAAGCCACGGCUAACUACGUGCCAGCAGCCGCGGUAAUACGUAGGUGGCAAGCGUUGUCCGGAUUUAUUGGGCGUAAAGCGAGCGCAGGCGGUUUUUUAAGUCUGAUGUGAAAGCCUUCGGCUCAACCGAAGAAGUGCAUCGGAAACUGGGAAACUUGAGUGCAGAAGAGGACAGUGGAACUCCAUGUGUAGCGGUGAAAUGCGUAGAUAUAUGGAAGAACACCAGUGGCGAAGGCGGCUGUCUGGUCUGUAACUGACGCUGAGGCUCGAAAGUAUGGGUAGCAAACAGGAUUAGAUACCCUGGUAGUCCAUACCGUAAACGAUGAAUGCUAAGUGUUGGAGGGUUUCCGCCCUUCAGUGCUGCAGCUAACGCAUUAAGCAUUCCGCCUGGGGAGUACGGCCGCAAGGCUGAAACUCAAAGGAAUUGACGGGGGCCCGCACAAGCGGUGGAGCAUGUGGUUUAAUUCGAAGCUACGCGAAGAACCUUACCAGGUCUUGACAUACUAUGCAAAUCUAAGAGAUUAGACGUUCCCUUCGGGGACAUGGAUACAGGUGGUGCAUGGUUGUCGUCAGCUCGUGUCGUGAGAUGUUGGGUUAAGUCCCGCAACGAGCGCAACCCUUAUUAUCAGUUGCCAGCAUUAAGUUGGGCACUCUGGUGAGACUGCCGGUGACAAACCGGAGGAAGGUGGGGAUGACGUCAAAUCAUCAUGCCCCUUAUGACCUGGGCUACACACGUGCUACAAUGGAUGGUACAACGAGUUGCGAACUCGCGAGAGUAAGCUAAUCUCUUAAAGCCAUUCUCAGUUCGGAUUGUAGGCUGCAACUCGCCUACAUGAAGUCGGAAUCGCUAGUAAUCGCGGAUCAGCAUGCCGCGGUGAAUACGUUCCCGGGCCUUGUACACACCGCCCGUCACACCAUGAGAGUUUGUAACACCCAAAGUCGGUGGGGUAACCUUUUAGGAACCAGCCGCCUAA
rnacentral:rRNA from 2 species